GAUAUAAAGAAAAAAAAUUUAUAUGUUCUGAAAAAAUGUCUCAUCAUUAAUAGUUUGUAAAUUAUAUGCAAUUAAAACUUUCGAAGUUUUUAUGAGAAGAAAUCUAAAGAUGUACUACAAAGCUUCGUCUUUUCGGCCGAAGAAACUUGCAAAAGAAAUCGAAAGGAAAUGAGAACUCUUGUGAUCUUGCCAGGAAAAGUAUCUUUCAGUAAAGCGAUCUUAUCUUGAGAUUCUUUAAUUCUCCUAUAUCUUUUCUCAAAGCUAUGGAAGUAGAGGAAAUCAGUCGAUCAGUCGUAGAAGAGGCGAAAUAGUAGCUACAAUGCUUUCUUUGUAAUCCAGUGAUCUUUCGUGGAGCAAAGAGCGCCGGAAGGAAAGGAACAGGAACAGAGAAAAGAAAUUGAUACAAAUGGUCCCCGCGAGCUGUUCUCAAGCGUGUUGCGAUCAAUCUGCUCAAUAUCGAUCGGUGAUUUAUCGAUGCACUCAGUCUGCUAAUCUGUCAGCACUGACACUCUUCGACAAUGACGGGUUCCCGACAUGAUUCCCCGCGUGAUAUCACGUCGCAGCAUCUCGUGGGUUGGAGACAACUCAACCGGGUGAAUCUUCCGAUAUUGCUUUAUCGCCCAUAAAAAUGGCUGUUUACGACGCUCCUUCCACUGUCAGAAACCACUAUAGAUUACCAGAUAAAUCGCUCUGUUUCCACCGGGAAAGGAAUCGACUCUGUUGCACGCACGGUUUCCACCAUUGCUUUUUUUCUUUUUACAAGGUGUACGGACCCGCGGUAGAACCGCCUCCGUGUAGACUUUCCCUCUUAUCUCUAUCAAUGAGAUCGAGAAUGGUUGCGAGAAAAUGCUACAAACGUGCACAGCUUUCUAUCGGUUGCGGUUUUUCUUAUCCUUUUAUUGCAACUUGCGGAUGGCAUGAUUUUAUAUCGUUCUUAAAUUUAUUGGAUCGUUACAGCAGAACAAUAUCGUAUAAAAAUGCAUUCCAAUUAGGAAAUAUAAGUACCUCGUAGUCAUGUAGUACAUGUUGCCCAGUACCACAACAAAAAUAUAUGCCUAUUUUUGCAGUAAAUGCCAAUAAUUUUAUUACUUUUAAGAAACUAUGUGUUAGAUACACUCUAUAGAAGAUAGAAAAUAAACUUUUUAACAAUCAAAACCAGUGGUACAAAAAACUAUAUUUUAAAUCUUUGUCUAUUUCAUUAUUUGAUUUUUUACAGGAAUAUCUUAAUUAGAGUAUAGAAUUAGAGUCGACAACACAUUUAUAUGGACUUACGUAACGUUUGCACGAUGGAAACUAUUUCUCGUUACAAAAUCUCCUUGUUUCAUUUGACCAUUAUGUAGAAAUACGUACAUCACGAGAUAUCCAUUUACAAUCGGCACGGAAAUUUCAGAGUUUACUAUGAAUACGAGCUGCGCGAGAGAAACGUCCGUUCAGCUAUCGGAAAGCUUGCCACAGUAUCAUCAUCACGUGCGGAGAAGUGCAGACGCUAUUGCAUAUUACGCAGAAUAGUAACUGAAGUUGUGAAGGCUGGAUUCACGUCACUUUCAGCGUAGACGGCUGAAAUACGCAUAUGAGCUAUGCAUAUCUCGUAGGCCUUUCUUUCUCGUGACUUAGCACGUUACUGCUUCAAGUGCUUCACUUGUUUGAAAGAAGUAUUCAGGCUCGAAGAGACUAAACGUUUUAUUCGCGAUGAUGCGGUACAUUCUCGAUGACACUGAUGAGGAUGUGGGCGACCGAUGCAUCGUGAUACCAGCUUGAGGGGAGACCAGAUAAUUGAAGAGUGUCAGCCUGAUUUAACCUCCGGCGACUCGGUGCAUUAUUAUAAUUUAUGACGCACGACCAGCUGUCACGAGUUCGAUAAAACGAAAAUGUUGCUUAAUUGUAUUCUUAAAUAGUCGAAACGUCAUCGAUUUUUCUGGACCACCCAUUACAAACGGUUCGGAGAAUUAUUUAAAGUAUUAUCGCAAGUAGAAUAAUCCAUGCAUUUCAUAACAGAAUAAAAAAUGUAUAAAAUCUGUAUUACACAUUG
rnacentral:lncRNA from 1 species